rnacentral:rRNA from 1 species
AUUGAACGCUGGCGGCAGGCUUAACACAUGCAAGUCGAGCGAGCGGCGGACGGGUGAGUAAUGUCUGGGAAACUGCCUGAUGGAUGGGGAUAACUACUGGAAACGGUAUCUAAUACCGCAUACCAUCAGAUGUGCCCAGAUUGGAUUAGCUAGUAGGUGGGGUAAUGGCUCACCUAGGCGACGAUCCCUAGCUGGUCUGAGAGGAUGACCAGCCACACUGGAACUGAGACACGGUCCAGACUCCUACGGUAGGCAGCAGUGGGGAAGAUUGAAGAAUGGGGGAAAGCCUGAUGCAGCCAUGCCGCGUGUAUGAAGAAGGCCUUCGGGUUGUAAAGUACUUUCAGCGAGGAGGCGGUACUCGCAGAAGAAGCACCGGCUAACUCCGUGCCAGCAGCCGCGGUAAUAC